AUUCUAUAGGCUUUCUCAAUUAUGAUCAUUUUAGUUUGUCGACGAACUGAUCGAAUUUAGAUUAAUAAUAAAUUUCCAUAGUCGAUCAGGUUUGACCCACUGUGCUCCGUGUUCCCUCACAUAUAACAUCGAAUGCACCGGGUUGCCUUUCUUUUUCAUAGAACCCACUUUUGUGCCACCCGUUAGGUCAACUCCUGAACGGAGGAGAAUGUCAGACGUCAAAACGAUAAUGACAGCAGAGAAUCAACAAAUACAAAACAUUAUGUUGAAGAAUGGAUGACCGAAAGUAGGUUUGCUUAUUUUAGAUUAUGUUACCGGGGAAAUCGUCGGGGGUUCAUUGCUUCAGGUGGUCCCGUAAGCUACGUUUUCUUCGGGAAAACGUGGGAUCCUCGCGAAUUACGAUGGAUCUAACUGUAGUUUCAAAAACUAUUUCAUCUUGUUCUAAGUGAUCUAUCCUCAUUUCGUAGUACCACGUUUUCAUCCAUUCCACUGCUUGAUCAAAAUUUAGAUUAACCUCUGCCAUUUUCAAAACGAAAAAAAGAACAAUUGGUUUCGAAACAAAGCGUUCAAAUGAGAACAAAAGAACUAGGUAACGAUCACUCAAUCCCCGGAAAUUAAUCUCACCCGUCAGUCUAAAUGAAAAAGGCUGAAUUCUGGUAAAUGGUCAAACAAUAGAGACGGUAAAAUUUAUCACUAAAGUAAUUAUCAUCACCCGGAAAGAUUUUUUUGCACUUUAUAUAAAUCACUUGAAUCACAAAUAUAAUCAUAUAAAU